AUAUAUAGAGGAUAGUAAAUGUGCCGCUAUCGCCCUUGCAGAAAUGUAGGUAUGGAGAAGUGGAAAAAGGCAGACCCACCUAUAUAU
rnacentral:ncRNA from 1 species